CAGGCUUGCCAUAGGUCAGAGCAGGCCAUCCAGGAGUUGCAAUUCGUACUCCAUGGGCUUUAUCUCCUGUGAAUAUUUCAACAGGCAGCUUUUCUGGCCAUAUUGCUGCAGUGCUAAUGUUCAGAUGAGUGGAAAAGCCACAAGAAAAGCUCAAAGGGACAACAGAGCAUAUGAUGAAUCUAUUGACAUUCUCCAAUCUAUUCCUGGAUCUCAGGCCAGCGUGUCUGAGCAAUCCUUCUGGUGCAUGUGCACCAAAUGCAAGGAGAUGAAAAAAGGCAUUGAUCGCAAAAACUGUGGUGUAAAUUGGAGAGAAUUUUGAGUCAGUACUCUGCCCCACAUGGACCGCAUCUUUCUCGACCCAACAGUCCUCCUAGUCACAAGAAACACUAGCAACAACACGUCUCCAUGAACCAGGGGAAGAGGACCAACAACAUCAGCAUGUAGUGUAACGGCACUUCAUUGUGUGGCAACAUAGGAUGUUCAGUGAGAGUUUUUAUUCCAAGUUGUACAGUUCUGUGGAGUAUCAGGGAAACCCUUCCCCAUUUGGACAAUAUAUAAAUUUGUUCCUCUGAGACUGUAGGGCAAUACCGUAAAUAUACUUUACAUAAUGCUAUUAUAGCAUCAUUGAAAGGGUUGACGUUGUCAUUUUAUUGAUUUAGCCAUCUGCUUACCAUUAUAGACUAUUUGUUUGGAUUUAUAUUUAAAUUGUACAGUGUUUAUAAUGCUUAAUUUUACAGAGAAUGAUCAGUUGGUACACUUCCAGUUAUUUCUAUACGUUAAGCUAACACAACCUUGAGACUUUUAUUUAUUUUAGCUGAACAUGCAGAAUGUGAAAUGUGUGUACAAACAAACAUAUUAUUUGGCUUAGCUGAACAUGCAGAAUGUGAAAUGUGUGUACAAACAAACAUUUUAUUUGGCAAAUAUGAAGAAUAAAGUUUUUUAAUAAUAAAUACAUAAGAAAUAUUCACUGGAGUUUAUAUGGAGAUAUUUCUUUUAUGGAA